CUUUCCUGCCCCUUGACUCUAAUACUUGCCAUGGGACUUGUUUUGCCCAAGGGAGUGCUAGUAGAUGUGAUGUGAGCAAGCCUUCAACAUGAGCAGAGACUUGGAACGUGCUUGUGUAGUUGACCUUGACCUCUUGUACUCUGGUGAUGCACCAUGUGAAGAACAGGUCCAAGUAGCUGCUGCUAUUUUUAUAAAAGUCAUGCAAUCUUGAGCUGAUGACAUCAUGGGAAGGACACAUGGAUGGUGACAUGUGGAAGAAGUUACUUAUCCUAACCAGAUGCCCAACACUGAUGAUGUCAUUGAAAUGGAGGAAGACGGAAGCCCACCAAAUCACUAACAGGAAAGAUAUUUUUAAAGCUGCAUUUGGGCACUGUUCCGUUUGAAAGGAAUUUGUUAUAACGGCAAUAUAUAAAUCUUUGAAUGGUCUCAUAAAUCAUAGCUCUAUACCCAGCCAAUCAGAAGCCAUGAAAACCUGGCACUGUAGAGCACUCAGUUGUUACUAGAAAGAUCCUGUGUGGCUCCUUGGAAGUGGAAUCGGAAAAUUUGGCUACACUUGGGGGUCUGUGGAAUGUCUUGAAUUACUUCUCAAACAUUUUAGAUUUGAUAAAACCCAAGACACAGCUUUUCCAGCCCCAUUUCCCUUCUCUCCCACCCCCAAUAAUUAUUAAACCCAUGUGUACAUCAAGAGAAGCUUAAUCCAUGUGUUUCUGAUUCAUUUACACUUAACUCAUCAAAAUAUUGUUUUUACAGGGCUGUUUGUUGUCCAAAAAGCCUUUUUCCCUAAGCUUGAAAGCUUAACUUCUCAGAAGCAGGAAGCUGCCUUUUGCCAAGAGUAAAUGGGUGAGAAGUCCAAAGGUCUUGGUUUUGAAGUAUGUGCAACGAAUGUUCAAACAGGUUCUGAACAGAGCCAAAUCUACUUUUCUAUCUCCAAGAAAUCUCGAGAGAGCCAUGGGGCGGAAGUUUCAAGGAACAACGUCUCGUCCCAAACCGCAUGAAAUUGCAUUCCAAUCAGAAGCAUGGCCAAACCCACCAGAACGCAAAACGCAGGGAUGGAAGGACACUGACGACGAUGACCUUGUGAAAUGAGAGAAUUGUCUUGAAAGGGAGCGUUGUUACGGAAGAUGCUGAUUUCGGCAUUCCCUGUCUGAAGUGCUAACUAACCUCAUUGGGUUUUUGCUCUGCACCAGGUACUGAUAUCUAUACUUUUCCUGUGUAUUCACUUACUUGAUACCUGAUGGAGGAGGUAUUUUUCAGAGGAGAAAACUGAGUCAUGGACAAAGUCAGUGACGUGCCCGAGAUCGUUCAUCUAAGAUGUUGCAGAGCUGGGACUUGAACCUAGUUUGUCUGCCUCUGGGAUCUGAGCUGGUAAACAUCACAUGGCACUUUGUGGCUCGUUUGUGACUGGUCCGUCCAUUGGUGGAAAAUGGUUAGAAGUCCUACUCUGUGCCCCUCUGUGUGCCAGUACUUGGAGAUACUUCCUCCAGAUACUUCCCCAUGAAACUUAAUCUGGUGGUGGAAGACAAACAUAAAACAAAUAAUUGAUUUGAGCUCUGAGAAGUGCCACAAAGGCAACGCACAGGUAUAAUGAUGGGGGAGGGAGGGGUGGCACUUGGUCUGGGAAGUAGGGGAAAACUGUCUCUGUAAGGGACAUUUUAUCUCAGACCGGAAGACUGUUGUUAUGGGUUCAAUUCCAUCCUCUUCUCCCCAGCAUUCAUUUGUCAAAGUCCUAGCCCCUAGACCUCAGAAUGUGACCUUAUUUGGAAAUAGUGUUGUUGCUGAUGUAAUUAGUUAAGAUGAGGUUAGAGUAGAGUAGGAUGGGCCCCUGCUAUAAUAUGACUGGUAUCUUUAUAAAAAGGGGAAAUUUAGAGACAGACACACACACACAGGGAGAAGGACAUGAGAACAGGAGGCAGAGAUGAGGCUGGUAUUUCCACAAGCCAAGGAGUGCCAAAAACUGCCAGCAAAUCACCUUCAAAAGGAGCAUGACAUCUUGAUCUUGGACUUUCACAUUCCAGAACUGUGUUUUUAUCCACUCCCAUUGUGGUACCUUGUCAUGGCAGCCCUAGCAAACGAAUGCAGAGGGGAAGGUGCCAGUCAGGUGAGGAGGGAGUGGAGAGUAGGAGAGAGGGAAAAAGAAACAAAACCCAGGAAGAAGAGCUAGCAUGUGCAAAAUCCCCAACGGAGGAAGGAGCGUGACACAUUUGGGAAGGUGGAACCAGGGAGAGGGGAGGGUGGAAGAUGAAGCAGGUGGAACCAGAUUCUGGCGUCUCUAAUACACAACGUGGCAUUUCUAUGAAGGACGAUGUGAAACCAGUGAAGGGUUUUAACCAAGGGGCAACCAUAAUUGGAUCUGAAUUUUAAUAUCAUUGUUCUGUUGCUGUGUGGAAACUGAAUUUUGGGGGUGGUAGGAAAGAAUAAAUGUAGAACAGUUUAGAACCUAUUGUGUUUGUGCCCAGGAGUUUCAGCCGAAUUCUUCAGAUUGGUUAUUCUUCCAAACAGGCCAUUUUCCUCAAGCCAUUUCCCUACUCAGUACUCAGACACAUUCAUUGUUUACAGUGUACCAGGCUCUGAAACUGUGCUAUCCAAUAUGGUAGCCACUGGCCACGUGUGGCUCAUUUAAAUUAAAAUUAAAGACCAGUUGCUCUGUCUCACUGAGACGUGCCUAUGUGCUCCCUAGCCACAUCAUUCACUGAAAGUUCUGUUAGACAGCUCUGGUCUAGGGAAACACAGAGGAACAGGGCAUCAUCCCGUCCUUGUUUUUAGAGCAGUGAAAGAACUCGAGACAACUGGAUUUCGUAGACCAGCAAGAACUUUUUUUGUUUUUAAGUAUACUUUAAGUUUUAGGGUACAUGUGCACAAUGUGCAGG
rnacentral:lncRNA from 1 species